rnacentral:rRNA from 1 species
AGAGUUUGAUCAUGGCUCAGAUUGAACGCUGGCGGCAUGCCUAACACAUGCAAGUCGAACGGAAACGAUGCUAGCUUGCUAGCAGGCGUCGAGUGGCGGACGGGUGAGUAAUGCAUAGGAAUCUACCUAAUAGUGGGGGACAACCUGGUGAAAACCAGGCUAAUACCGCAUAAUCCCUACGGGGCAAAGCAGGGGACCUUCGGGCCUUGCGCUAAUAGAUGAGCCUAUGUCGGAUUAGCUAGUUGGUGAGGUAAUGGCUCACCAAGGCAACGAUCCGUAGCUGGUUUGAGAGGAUGAUCAGCCACACUGGGACUGAGACACGGCCCAGACUCCUACGGGAGGCAGCAGUGGGGAAUAUUGCACAAUGGAGGAAACUCUGAUGCAGCAAUGCCGCGUGUGUGAAGAAGGCCUUAGGGUUGUAAAGCACUUUCAGUAGGGAGGAAAAGUUUAAGGUUAAUAACCUUAGGCCCUGACGUUACCUACAGAAGAAGCACCGGCUAACUCCGUGCCAGCAGCCGCGGUAAUACGGAGGGUGCGAGCGUUAAUCGGAAUUACUGGGCGUAAAGCGUACGCAGGCGGUUUGUUAAGCGAGAUGUGAAAGCCCCGGGCUCAACCUGGGAACUGCAUUUCGAACUGGCAAACUAGAGUGUGAUAGAGGGUGGUAGAAUUUCAGGUGUAGCGGUGAAAUGCGUAGAGAUCUGAAGGAAUACCGAUGGCGAAGGCAGCCACCUGGGUCAACACUGACGCUCAUGUACGAAAGCGUGGGGAGCAAACGGGAUUAGAUACCCCGGUAGUCCACGCCGUAAACG